GUGUCCAUAUAGGGGAAGCACUUUGGUGUUUGUUGAAAGCUACACCUGAUAAGUUAGGCUGAGAAGGGGACCAAAGAAAAAUCAGUGCUGUAGACUGGUGAUGUACAGGUGAGCAAGCCAACUACAGGGAAUGGAAACAAGAAAUGAAUUGAAGACUACAAAACAGAGAAAAUAAAGGUACCUUGGGCUGCUACUGAGUACCCCUGGCUAUACCAAGUAGCAGAGCCUCUGAAAGAUCAGAAAGUCAACUUGUGGAUUUAUACAACAUAUAUAAUAGAAAGUAAAAGAAAAAAAAGGGGAGGUGAGAGGGGGGAGAAAAACAGAAAGC
rnacentral:lncRNA from 1 species